CCUACGGGAGGCAGCAGUGAGGAAUAUUGGUCAAUGGACGAGAGUCUGAACCAGCCAAGUAGCGUGAAGGAUGACUGCCCUAUGGGUUGUAAACUUCUUUUAUCUGGGAAUAAAAUGUUCCACGUGUCGGAUUUUGUAUGUACCAUAUGAAUAAGGAUCGGCUAACUCCGUGCCAGCAGCCGCGGUAAUACGGAGGAUCCGAGCGUUAUCCGGAUUUAUUGGGUUUAAAGGGAGCGUAGGUGGAUUGUUAAGUCAGUUGUGAAAGUUUGGGGCUCAACCGUAAAAUUGCAGUUGAAACUGGCAGUCUUGAGUACAGGAGAGGUGGGCGGAAUUCGUGGUGUAGCGGUGAAAUGCAUAGAUAUCACGAAGAACUCCGAUUGCGAAGGCAGUUCACUGGACUGCAACUGACACUGAGGCUCGAAAGUGUGGGUAUCAAACAGGAUUAGAUACCCUUGUAGUC
rnacentral:rRNA from 1 species